GGGCCCGCACAAGCGGUGGAGCAUGUGGUUUAAUUCGACGCAACGCGCAGAACCUUACCAGCCCUUGACAUGUCCAGGACCGGUCGCAGAGAUGUGACCUUCUCUUCGGAGCCUGGAGCACAGGUGCUGCAUGGCUGUCGUCAGCUCGUGUCGUGAGAUGUUGGGUUAAGUCCCGCAACGAGCGCAACCCUCGCCCUUAGUUGCCAUCAUUCAGUUGGGCACUCUAAGGGGACUGCCGGUGAUAAGCCGAGAGGAAGGUGGGGAUGACGUCAAGUCCUCAUGGCCCUUACGGGCUGGGCUACACACGUGCUACAAUGGUGGUGACAAUGGGAUGCAAAGGCGCGAGCCCUAGCAAAUCUCCAAAAGCCAUCUCAGUUCGGAUUGGGCUCUGCAACUCGAGCCCAUGAAGUUGGAAUCGCUAGUAAUCGUGGAUCAGCAUGCCACGGUGAAUACGUUCCCGGGCCUU
rnacentral:rRNA from 1 species